GACGAACGCUGGCGGCGUGCUUAAUACAUGCAAGUCGAGCGAUGAUGCCAGCUUGCUGGUGGUCUGGCGGCGGACGCGUGCGUAACACUAGCACAACGUGCCCCUGACUUUGGGAUAACCGCGGGAAACCGUGGCCAAUACUGGUUAUGGCGCACUUUCGCAUGCGCGUGUUUGGAUAGAGUUAGCGGGUUGUGAUGUCCCCGCGCCGUAUUAGCUAGUUGGUAAGGUAACGGCUUAACAAGGCGACGUAGGGUAGCCGACCUGAGAGGGUGACCGGCCACACUGGAACUGAGACACGGUCCAGACUCCUACGGGAGGCAGCAGUAGGGAAUCUUCGGCAAUGGGCGAAAGCCUGACGGAGCAGCGGCGCGUGAGUGAUGAAGGUCUUCGGAUCGGAAAACUCUGUUAUUAGGGAAGAACAAAUGUGUAAGUAACUAUGCACGUCUUGACGGUACCUAAUCAGAAAGCCACGGCUAACUACGUG
rnacentral:rRNA from 1 species